GCCCGCUUGGCCCAGUGGUAAGGCGUCUCACUCGUAUAUUCAUGCGAAAUGAGAAGAUCAGUUGUUCGAGUCAGCUAGUGGGCA